rnacentral:rRNA from 1 species
AACGAACGCUGGCGGCAUGCCUAACACAUGCAAGUCGAACGAGACCUUCGGGUCUAGUGGCGCACGGGUGCGUAACGCGUGGGAACCUGCCCUUAGGUUCGGAAUAACUCCCCGAAAGGGGUGCUAAUACCGGAUAAUGUCUUCGGACCAAAGAUUUAUCGCCUUUGGAUGGGCCCGCGUUGGAUUAGGUAGUUGGUAGGGUAAAAGCCUACCAAGGCGUCGAUCCAUAGCUGGUCAGAGAGGAUGAUCAGCCACACUGGGACUGAGACACGGCCCAGACUCCUACGGGAGGCAGCAGUGGGGAAUAUUGGAAAAUGGGGGAAAGCCUGAUCCAGCAAUGCCGCGUGAGUGAUGAAGGCCUUAGGGUUGUAAAGCUCUUUUACCCGGGAUGAUAAUGACAGUACCGGGAGAAUAAGCGCCGGCUAACUCCGUG